GAAUGGCGACAGAUGUGAUCUUAUCGUAACGACCUUUCAAGUAAGUGUGUUUUUGGAUGCCUUGAAAAUAUUUCUGAUACUCGAUAAGCUUUUCCCUAGGUCUGAAUGGUGCCUCCGACAUUCUGCUGUCACAAAGUUAAACAUUCGGUUAUACAUCAAAUAAGAGAAUAAGAUUUUCCAAAACUCCCUAAAUCUCAACCCAACUUAUUCUCAUUUCCCAAAUCGGCACAUUCAGGCAUAGUAUCUAUCUUCAUCUAUUUUAACCAAUAAAACAAUUGAAUUUAUAUUAACAAGCAGACAUUGAUAGUACUUGCAUCAACAAAAUACAAGAAAACAUCUUCCCUCCUAUUUUACAAAAGCUACAUUAAACAAGGGCAGACAAUACACUAUAGCAAGGUUUUCAGAAUCAGACUGGUGGUCGAACCAGUCAGGACACCGGUUUGCCAGUUCAACCAGUUUUUUGCCUUGUUCAAAAAGUCAUUACCAGUUCCCAGAUCAGCUGAUUCAAUGCCCUUCUCUAGCCCGGUACCUCGGCCAGUCUAGUACGUUUCAAACAACCUUGCAAUAUAGCCUAGAAAUCAAAUUUUGCGUCUCGAGAUUCAAGAAGCCCCUACAAAGAAAGAUUUUCAGAUGUGCAUACAUUCUAACUCCAAUAAACUUAAAAUCCCCUCGAUACUCGGUAACAAACCUCAUUGUAUCAGUGCCCUUUUUCCUAAAGAAAUGCAAUAAGAACAAACAAAAUGGGGAUCAAUAAACCCAGUUCAAACUCAAUUUACAGUCCACCAGGGGGAGAAUUUUAUGAAUAUUUGGCUACAACAAGGAUUAUUUGGUUUCAAUUACUCAUAGACUUACAAUCUUAAACAAUUAAUUUACACUAUUUUGAACAAAAAGAAAAAAAGAAAAAAAGCUAGGUUGAUUGCUUUGUUCUUGAAUCAAUACCUUCACAAUCCACAAAUACCAUAGAUGAAAUCCAAUUCUAAUUACACAAAAUCAGGAAAAGCGUUUCCAGUAAAUCAAAUCAGCAGAUUCAAAGAUAAGAAAACUAAAAAAAAAAAAAAAUCAAUUACUCAAAAUUGAAUUAAAACACAUUUCAAUAUCGGAUUCAUAAGAGGAAAAAGAAAUGAACACCUGAGAGAAAACCAAGCUUGAUUCUUCCUCUUCUUUCUUAGAUUAGGAAAAAAAACGACUUUUUUGAGCCUUUAGGGAUUUGGAUUAAGUUCGGGAAAAUGGUGUAUUGUAUUAUAAAAAAAAAACACCAAAGUUUGUAUGGGCUGAGAGUGGCUGGCCCAAUUCAUAAGAGGUUUUAAUUUGAUCUUAGUCCCUGUACUCUUCAGAGUUUUGAACUUUAGUCCCUUUACUUUUUUUAUUUGAAAAUUAAAAUCCUAUUUAUAACACUGAUAAUUAAUUUUCAUUAAAUUUGAAAAGUUCAAAUUUAAAAAUUAAAAGACAACAUAUAUUCAAUAUAGUAGAAGUUAAUUAAUUGUGUUAGCUAUUGAAUUUUAAAUCCAAAAAAAUAAAAAAAUUAAAUUCUUGAAAAUUAAAGUAAAGUGAUUGAAUUUAAAAAAUCCGAAGAAUACAAGGACUAAAUUAAAUAUAUGUGUAGUGAUAUAAUCUUGACAAAGUUCAUAAAUCUCAUAAUCUAUUAGGAAUUUUUUUUAAAAUAUAUAAAACCAUAAAAAUUUGUAAUAUGCAGAGAAUCUAUUUUUUUAAUAAAAAAAUUGUUUUAAUAAACCUAUUGAAUCAAACAAAUCACAGAUUCUCGAUUGAAUCGGUCUUACUUAACCUAAUGAAUUUUUAAGACUCAUUUACAAUACAUAACAAUUAUAUCUUGACAUAAUUCAUAUAAAACGUUUAUAUAUUGAUUUAAUUCAAUUUUUACAAAUUGUUAAUAUCGUUAUCGUUAUAACAUUAUGCCUUACAUAUUGCAUAUAUGGAUAAUUAUCCUUAUCAAAUAUAAAAAAAAUGAAACCAAAAUUCCAUAUUAUACAUUUAAACCUCGAAUCAAAUUUUCAUGUUUAUAAUUACAAUAAAUUAAACUUUACGUAUCAAAUUAUUCCUUGCACGAAAACUCAUGUAUAUUUUGAAAAUAAAAUAUUGUCAUCGAUGAAUCUAACCUCUGUUUCUUCCUCUUUCUUAAUUUUCCAAUACCUUAAAACCAGUUCAACUCAAAUUUGAGUUUUUUUUUUUUUAAGAUAAAGUUAUUUUGUGUUUAGAUCGUUUUAGUUUCAAAUAGCUUCAAAUUUAGAUAGUUUAAAUUUGCGUCAAUUCGGAAAGACAACGGCAUGUCGGAAUAUAUGUGCUUGAAUCCGACCCAUCAAACAUGCCAUCAUUCCGAUAAGACUUGUUAACGUCCUCAAAAAUUUCCGAUAGGUAGCUCUUCUCUAUGUCAAACGGGUCGCCCUUGCAUAUGUUGUUAAACAAGUAAGUGAUUUCUUCGUCGGUCCUAAAGUAGUUCUCGGCACAUUGAUUAAACAUCCCAUGAAGGUCGCCUACAUCAUUACGUGGUUCAUUAUAUGGUGGUAACAUUGCUCGAAAGCGACGCAAUUGAGGAAGAUAGAGCUCGUGAAAUUGUCGACGGUGAGGAGCAGGACUUGAAGCACGCUGUUGUUGAAUUUAACGUCCAAGAAGCUAUUGCAUUUCCAUGACUUGAAUUGAAUCCAGGAUAGGUAAAGCAUUUUGGCCAAUGGGAUCUAUUGAAGGAAUGUCGAUAUUUCUUCGGUCGAACUAGAUCAAUUUUAGAACAUGUAAAUCAUCUUCAAACAUAAGUGAUAAACACUAAGACCUUUUUUGUUUAAGAACUUCAAUUCACUUACCAUAUUGAGAUAUAUAUUCAUGUUUACCAACAACUCAAAAUCCAAAUCCAAAUUAUGCAAUAAUAAUCAUAAAAUAUCAUGUUGAAUCCUUGAGCUUCUUAUCAUUUAGCUUUCAAGAGAAUCCAAAACCAAACUAAAAAACAUAACCCCAAAGGGUAUCUUUUAAGAUCUCCAUUUGGCAUAAAAACCAAACAAUUAUUAGAGCAAAUAAACAAGCAAUUUCAUACUACAAUGAAACUCAAAAAUGAAAAACAUGUCUUCUAACCAUGAGUGAGAGCUCUCAUUCCUUUUUUCCAAUCCCAUGAGACAUGUUAUAGAUCCCUCGUCCCUGAAAAAAAUAACAAGCACACAACAUAAGCUAUAGUUUCAUUGAUCUUUUAUUUGGCAAAUGGGAGGUUUUAAAAUUGUUGUAAGAUAGUUUUACAAUUAUGAAUGAAACUCACGAUUAAAAACAGGGAACUUGCUGCUAGAGUGGCGGGAAUGGCAACAGAUGUGAUCUUAUCGUAACGACCUUUCAAGUAAGUGUGUUUUUGGAUGCCUUGAAAAUAUUUCUGAUACUCGAUGAGCUUUUCCCUAGGUCUGAAUGGUGCCUCCGACAUCCUGCUGUCACAAAGUUAAACAUUCGGUUAUACAUCGAAAAAGAGAAUAAGAUCUUUCCAAAACUCCCUAAGCCUCAACCCAACUUAUUCUCUUUCCCCAAAUCGGCACAUUCAUGCAUAGUAUCUAUCUUCAUCUAUUUUAACCAAUAAAACAAUUGAAUUUACAUCAACAAGCAGACAUCCAUAGUACUCACAUCAACAAAAUACAAGAUAAAACAGCAGCGACCCGUCUUCCCCCCUAUUUUACAAAAGCU
rnacentral:lncRNA from 1 species